rnacentral:lncRNA from 1 species
GUUUCUUUAUCCUAUUCUUACUUUCAUUCUGAAUCCUCCCCCUAACAUAAACUUCUCUAUUUCCCUUGCGUCAGACUUUUUGUCGCUCUCUUACUUUCAUACCUUAUUCAAUUCUUUCUUUCCCUCUUAUCACCUUCUCUCUCACUCUUUUACUUUCUAUGUAUCUACUUUUCUUUCUCACUCCCCCUCUCGCAUUGUCUAAUCCUAUUCACACUAACAUUUUUGUCUCAUUCAGAGUGGUACCGGUUUCCCUCUCUUAGCGUCUUUUUCUCCUUUUUCCCUCCAAAUCAUUCCUUGCUUUCAUCUCUACCCGCUUCUCAUACAUUAUCCAUCUUUUUUUGGGGGGGUAUAAAAGUCUCUUUCUUUCUCUUUUUGUAACUUGUCCUUCUUUUCCUAUUCUAAUAUAUAGAAUGAUAUAUAUUUCUCGUAUUGUCUUUUCUCCGCAUUAUAUUUUACUACCUCAAACAAUAUGUUUUCCUUCAGCACGACUUUCUUCUUCCCUGCCUCAUUAAACAUCGCAUCUCGUACUUUUCCUUUCCAUCACACAUAGACACGUAAACACACCCAGUCUCUCUCUCUUUCUCCUCUUCAUCUAUCUAUCUAUCUAUCUAUCUAUCUGUCUAUCUAUCUAUCUUUCUUUCUUUCUAUCUUUCUAUCUCUAUCUAUCUGUCUGUCUCUCUGUCUAUCUAUCUAUCUAUCUAUCUAUCCAUCUAUCUAUCUAUCUAUCUAUCUAUCUACUUAUCUAUCUACUUACCUAUCUAUCUAUCUAUCUAUCUAUCUAUCUAUCUAUCUAUCUAUCUAUCUAUCUAUCUAUCUAUCUCUAUAUCUAUGUUGUGUUAAACUGUUCUAACCACAACCCAUGACACAUAAUAUGUCCCUUAGUUCUGAAUCUACUUAGAUUAUUCUCCUCCUCUUUGGAUAAAUUGCCUAUGCACUCACAUUCUCAACCCUAGCAAGUUCUACUUUCACUAUCGUUUCGGGCACAUCUCAAUUAGCAGUUAACCUUUUACGCAUAUUUGUUUACUUCUUAUACGCCUCGCUCAUCAUUCCUCCGUUUCUUUCUGUCUUCUAAUCGACUUACAUGCAUGCAUACAUAGACACAUACAUACAUACAUACAUAUACAUGCAUGCGCGCACACUCACAAACACAGACAAAUAUAUGGUUCCCGGUACCCCUUUUUCCUCCACCUUCCUUCCUUCCUUCCUUCUCUGUUUAUUUCUAUCUUACUUUUCCUUCAUCUCUUUUUCUAUUCUUAAUCAUUCAUUUCCUUGUUUAUUCGUGUUCACAAAUACGAGGCGCGAAACCAUCGUUUCUAAGCUUUCUUUCUCCACCCCACCCCCCAUAAUUCGCUCUCUUUUCCCCUCACUCUUGCAUGCUUUCUCUCUCUUCUUUUCCUUUCUUAUAACUCUAACUGUCUCAGAAGAUCUCUCUCUCUUUCUAACUCUAACUCUUUCUCUCUCUCUUUCUCCUUGUCUCUCUCUCCUUCUGUCUCACUUAUAUUUUGCCUCACUCUAAGUCGCAUCUCACAUUUUUGCUCUCGCACUCUCCUUCUCACACAUAUCAACUCAUUCAUUUCCUCCUUCUCCCUAUCACACUCCACGAUCACUCAUAUAUUUGAUUACGAAAGCAGGCAUGCAUGCACGCACGCAUGCACACAUACAUGCAUGCACGCACACAUUAUUGCACUAACACACAGCAUAUAACGACGACACAGCUCUACACGUGUAUUUCAUUCUUCCCUCGUUUAUUCUGUUUUUGUAAAAAUAUACAGACUGUUUGGUACCAACAUUCUUCUCUCUCUCUCUCUCUCUCUCUCUCUCUCUCUCUCUCUCACUAUCGUUCUCUCUUUCUCUCUCUCUCUCUCACUAUCGUUCUCUCUUUCUCUCAGUCUAGCUAUAUAUCUGUCUUCAACAUAUAUAUCUUACAUUUUUCUAUUGCUCUCCACUCUCUCCCUCUUACUCUCUCUCUCUCAGCCCGCGCUCAGUUUGUCUUAUUAUCGUAUAUUUUUCUCUUGCUGUCGGUUUUCCUUCUCUCCUUCUUCUUCUUUAGUCAUUUUUUCGUCUUUAUAUAUCUUGUUAACUCUUUUCCCGUUCCAUAAUUUAUCAUUCUCUUCUCCCCUCUGUCUGUCUCUCUCUCUCUCACGUUCAUCCUCUCUCACUUCCUCUAACUUCAUGCCUUUUUUUAUGUAAUUUUAUUUUCCGUCAUUUUGUCUCUUUCCAUUUCCUAUCUCCUCAACCUCACUAUUUUCAUAUAUUUGUUUACAUAUCAGUCUGCUAGUGUAUAUAUACCAUUAUAUGUAACUCUCCUGCCCUUUUAUUUAACUCUCUGUAUCUCACUGCACUCAUUGUUCAUCUCUCCCUCUCUCUCUCUCUCUCUCUCACUCACUCUCUAUUGCUUUCUAUCUCUUGUUCAUUCCCUCCUUCACUCUCUCAUUCUCUUCCUCUCUCUCUCUUUCUCUGUCCCUCUCUUACUUUCUCUCUUUCACUCGUGUGCGUCUUAUUUCGUCUUUUCAUCUUGCCUGUCUCCAUUCUGUGCGCCUGUCUCUGUCUCAGAAUAUCAAAAUAUUUCUCUGUGUUGUCUGAUUAUAUCCCUCUUGUAUCAAAUCAUUCCCUCUCUCCCCAUCUCUCUCACCCUCUGUCUCUCUCUCUCACUCACUCUGUCUCUCACUCUGUGCCUGUUUCUCUUCCUCUCUAUCUAGCUAUCCAUCUAUACAUCUACCUUUUUAUCUCCAAUUAUUUCGAUCGCUCACUUAUAGUAGUUAUAUUGGCGAUGUGUGGGACUUCGCACACAUGUUAGAGUCAGAACUCUAUGCGAUAUAAAGGCGUUAAACAAUCUGUCUACAUCUUUGGAUUUCUACAUGACGUACUACUUGUUCCCCACUAUAGCUUAAUAGAAGGCAUAGAGAAAAAGUAAAAGAAAAAAUAAUAAACAAUCAAACGAGGCAAAUAUAUAGUAAUAUUAAUUGUACACAUUUUCUUUUGACCAACAAAAGAAAUCCACCGAAACAUAAAACAACAAAAAUAUAACUCCAGCCGCCGAAAAAUUCAGGUG